UGAGCAACCUACCGAACUGUGGGGGAUAGCCGGCCUAACGGCCGAGUAAUACCGCAUACGCUCUCAGGGAGGCAUUUCUUUGAGAGGAAACCUACGGGACAGAUCGAGGGGCUCGCGGCCUAUCAGCUAGUUGGCGAGGUAACGGCUCACCAAGGCAACGACGGGUAGCUGGUCUGAGAGGAUGGCCAGCCACAUUGGGACUGAGAUACGGCCCAGACCUCCGUACGGGAGG
rnacentral:rRNA from 1 species